AGUUAAGUUCACUUCAGACACAGCCAAUGUCAACCCGUCUCACAAUGCCGCAGUGUGUAUUCAAAAGUUGCAAAAAAUGCCCGAAAAAGCAAUUUAACGGCCGGAGUAUCUUACUUUCGCUUUCCUAGUAAUCACGUGUGCAGAAUGGAUCUCGGUUGUCGCCAGAGAAAGAAGAGAUUACUUUUAUAAGCCAGCUAAGAACUCCACUCAUUGACACUGGACAUCUUUGCCUUCCGUGUUCACUGCUACUGAAACGUGGCCGAAGCAUUGUAAUAAAAAUAUCGCGCUUAAAACCGUUUAAA